UUUAUCUAUGGAUUCAACAUGGCAGCAGACGCGAAGCUACCGUUUGAUGCAGCCUGCUUUAGAUAUUGUUUUAAGUAGUUUAGAAUGCAAGUUUAUUUUGAAAAAAAGAGCCGUUUUGGUGUUAAACUUCGCGAGAGCCCAGUCGUUAUUGUUGUCUCGACAUUAAUCGCCCAAUGGAGGACCAGGGAGGUGGUCAACCUUGGAAUAUCUGCCGCUCAGCUGUGUCUCGAGAAAGAAAAUGCGAUAAAGAAUUGUCGAUACCAACUUCUGUUCGGCAGUCCCGACUCCCGAGGCCUGGAUGAGCGUAAAGUGGCAAGACAUGUUAGCCACGGAGUUGUAUUACCAACCUGCUAGGCAUCGUCGUCGACGAAGUCCAUUUAACUUAUAAAUGCACGUGAUUUAUGACGACAGAAGCUUCGUUCACCUGAGAAUCACGUGUGUGACGGCAUGUCAAAGGGAACACAGCAGCUGAUCUCAACCCAAAGACACGACUGAAUCUGACUCUAAGAGCUGGUGAAGAUCAGGACAAACAGCUGUGGAUCAGGGGGUUCAACAGACGUGUGCCUAAAUGUGCUAAAAUAGUCACGAUGAGAGAUAAAGAUCACGCUACGAGCCGAGUGGAAAAUAAACCGAAGGUCUGACUAAUGUUCACACAUUUAUAUUUUGCCACCAUGAGAUUGUGGUCAGAUUUCUUCUUCUCAGCUUCACGCUUGUUUUUUCCACUUCAGUGGUCAACAUUUUCGUAGAACUGUUUAACAGUGUGUUUUCAACAGAAACACCCACAGCCAUGAUGAGAUCAAUGUUUAUCACCUUUUA